rnacentral:rRNA from 1 species
CUACUCUUGACAUCCUGCGAACUUGGUAGAGAUACCUUGGUGCCUUCGGGAACGCAGUGACAGGUGCUGCAUGGCUGUCGUCAGCUCGUGUUGUGAAAUGUUGGGUUAAGUCCCGUAACGAGCGCAACCCCUAUCCUUAUUUGCCAGCACUUCGGGUGGGAACUCUAAGGAGACUGCCGGUGACAAACCGGAGGAAGGUGGGGAUGACGUCAAGUCAUCAUGGCCCUUACGAGUAGGGCUACACACGUGCUACAAUGGCCGGUACAGAGGGCCGCGAACUCGCGAGGGUAAGCUAAUCUCAGAAAACCGGUCGUAGUCCGGAUCGCAGUCUGCAACUCGACUGCGUGAAGUCGGAAUCGCUAGUAAUCGCGAAUCAGAAUGUCGCGGUGAAUACGUUCCCGGGUCUUGUACACACC